rnacentral:rRNA from 1 species
UACGUAUGGUGCAGGCGUUAUCCGGAUUUACUGGGCGUAAAGGGAGCGCAGGCGGCGCGCCAAGUCUGAUGUGAAACCCCGGGGCUCAACCCCGGGCAUGCAUUGGAAACUGGCGGGCUGGAGUGCCGGAGAGGUAAGCAGAAUUCCUAGUGUAGCGGUGAAAUGCGUAGAUAUUAGGAGGAACACCAGUGGCGAAGGCGGCUUACUGGACGGCAACUGACGCUGAGGCUCGAAAGCGUGGGGAGCAAACAGG